rnacentral:rRNA from 1 species
GAAACACGGACCAAGGAGUUCAACUGGAUUGCGAGUCGUAGAGAUUUUUUUACUAAACUCCCCACGGCAUAGCGAAAGCAAAUCGGUGUGAAGUGAUAUAUUUUUAAUAUUUCACUGCAACACAGGCUGAUUAUGAAUAUGCAUGAGAUUCUUGUGUAUACCAUUAAUAUUACUUUAAUGGAUUAAUCAAGCUAAAGAGCACUUUAGUUGAGACCCGAAAGAUGGUGAACUUUGCCCGGACAUGGUGAAGCCAGGUGAAAACUUGGUGGAAGCUUGCGCUGUGCGGAACUGACGUGCAAAUCGUUGCCGCCUGAUCUGGGUAAAGGGGCGAAAGACUCAUCGAACCAUCUAGUAGCUGGUUCCCUCCGAAGUUUCCCUUAGGAUAGCUGGAAUUUAUUACACACAUUUUACUCAACGAGUAACACAAGGGUAAAGCAAUGAGACGCGGUAUCUGUGGGUCUUAUUUUAAUGACCUCGGCCUUCUCUCAAACUUUAAAUCUGUGCGAAUCUAUACUGAUUUCUUAAAAAAAAUAAUACAUUUCGGUGUCAUUAUUUUGUGAAUCUAUAGAUUGUAUCUAAAAUUCGUAGUGGGCCAUUUCUGGUAAGCAGAACUGGCGAUGAGGGAUUCAACCUGACGUUUUCAAGAUAAGCCGGGCUUAAUCAUAUCUGCUCCAACCUUCCGAUAAACGCGA